AUUGAACGCUGGCGGCAGGCCUAACACAUGCAAGUCGAGCGGAGCGGGGACGGGUGAGUAACACGUGGGUAACCUCCCAUCAGAGGGGAUAACACUUGGAAACAGGUGCUAAACCGAUACUGAUGGAUGGACCGGCGGUGCAUUAGCUAGUUGGUGAGGUAACGGCUCACCAAGGCCACGAUGCAUAGCCGACCUGAGAGGGUGAUCGGCCACACUGGGACUGAGACACGGCCCAGACUCCUACGGGAGGCAGCAGUGGGGAAUCUUGGGCAAUGGACGAAAGUCUGAUCGAGCCACGCCGCGUGAGUGAAGAAGGCUUUCGGGUUGUAAAGCUCUUUUAUUAGAGAAGCGUUAUCGAACCAGGAAGCCACGGCUAACUACGUGCCAGCAGCCGCGGUAAUAC
rnacentral:rRNA from 1 species